rnacentral:misc_RNA from 1 species
CUCCAUCAACUUUCAGCAGCAGAUGCAGCUCUGGCAGGCGUGAGAUGGUCGAGCUCAGACACUGGUGGUGUAGAAUUGAUCUUCAUAUGUCGAGUUUGUACAACAACAUUCUUGUUAUUCUUCAGGAACUUCGACCAGCGCCCUCCAGAUUCGUUGCCAGAAAAUUGUUGGCCACAGGCUGCUGCAACUGUUAAACCACUUAUAUUUCUUACCAGCGUGUUGCCAAUUCUACAGCUGGACCCCUGCAUCCUUGAGUGCGACAGUCAAGGUAACAGAGGCCUCCUCGAGGGUUCUUGUCUUAUUCACGGUACUGAAUGCCUCUAUGAUGUCACCUUCCUCCCAUUCAUCGAAGUCAUCUACCCCAAUACCACACUCUAGCCCAGCACCAAC